AACGUAGGAGACAAACGUUAUCCGGAGUUACUGGGCGUAAAGGGCGUGUAGGUGGUUUCGUAAGUCUGGCGUGAAAUAUCUCGGCUUAACCGAGGCAGGUCGUCGGGAUACUGCGGGACUAGAGGACGGUAGAGGCGUGUGGAAUUCCGGGUGUAGUGGUGAAAUGCGUAGAGAUCCGGAGGAACCCCAGAGGCGAAGGCGGCGUCCUGGCUCGGCAUCUGACGCUCAGACACGACAGCAUGGGGAGCGAACGGG
rnacentral:rRNA from 1 species